AAAUAGAUACCCGAGGUAGUCCACGCCGUAAACGAUGAGUGCUAAGUGUUAGAGGGUUUCCGCCCUUUAGUGCUGCAGCUAACGCAUUAAGCACUCCGCCUGGGGAGUACGGCCGCAAGGCUGAAACUCAAAGGAAUUGACGGGGGCCCGCACAAGCGGUGGAGCAUGUUGGUUUAAUUCGAAGCAACGCGAAGAACCUUACCAGGUCUUGACAUCCUCUGACAACCCUAGAGAUAGGGUCUUUCCCGUUCGGGGUACGAGAGUGACGAGGUGGUGCAGUGGUUGUCGUCAGCUCGUGUCGUGAGAUGUUGGUUACGUCCGCAACGAGCGCACCUUAGUAUCUUAGUUCGCCAGCUAUUCUAGGUUGG
rnacentral:rRNA from 1 species